rnacentral:tRNA from 1 species
UCCGGGGUCGUCUAACGGUAGGAUGAUGGACUCUGAAUCCAUUGAUCUUGGUUCGAAUCCAAGCCCCGGAG